rnacentral:rRNA from 1 species
AUUGAACGCUGGCGGCAUGCCUUACACAUGCAAGUCGAACGGCAGCACGGACUUCGGUCUGGUGGCGAGUGGCGAACGGGUGAGUAAUGUAUCGGAACGUACCUUUCAGUGGGGGGAUAACGUAGCGAAAGUUACGCUAAUACCGCAUAUUCUGUGAGCAGGAAAGCAGGGGAUCGCAAGACCUUGCGCUGAUUGAGCGGCCGAUAUCAGAUUGGCUAGUUGGUGGGUAAAGGCCUACCAAGGCGACGAUCUGUAGCGGGUCUGAGAGGAUGAUCCGCCACACUGGAACUGAGACACGGUCCAGACUCCUACGGGAGGCAGCAGUGGGGAAUUUUGGACAAUGGGGGCAACCCUGAUCCAGCCAUGCCGCGUGAGUGAAGAAGGCCUGG